CUCAGGAUGAACGCUGGCGGCGUGCCUAAUACAUGCAAGUCGAGCGAACAGAUGAGAAGCUUGCUUCUCUGAUGUUAGCGGCGGACGGGUGAGUAACACGUGGGUAACCUACCUAUAAGACUGGGAUAACUCCGGGAAACCGGGGCUAAUACCUGAUAAUAUUUUGAACCGCAUGGUUCAAUAGUGAAAGACGGCUUCGGCUGUCACUUAUAGAUGGACCCGCGCCGUAUUAGCUAGUUGGUAAGGUAAUGGCUUACCAAGGCAACGAUACGUAGCCGACCUGAGAGGGUGAUCGGCCACACUGGAACUGAGACACGGUCCAGACUCCUACGGGAGGCAGCAGUAGGGAAUCUUCCGC
rnacentral:rRNA from 1 species